AUUGAACGCUGGCGGCAGGCUUAACACAUGCAAGUCGAACGAUGACUCUCUAGCUUGCUAGAGAAGAUUAGUGGCGGACGGGUGAGUAACAUUUAGGAAUCUGCCUAGUAGUGGGGGAUAGCUCGGGGAAACUCGAAUUAAUACCGCAUACGACCUACGGGUGAAAGGGGGCGCAAGCUCUUGCUAUUAGAUGAGCCUAAAUCAGAUUAGCUAGUUGGUGGGGUAAAGGCCCACCAAGGCGACGAUCUGUAACUGGUCUGAGAGGAUGAUCAGUCACACCGGAACUGAGACACGGUCCGGACUCCUACGGGAGGCAGCAGUGGGGAAUAUUGGACAAUGGGGGCAACCCUGAUCCAGCCAUGCCGCGUGUGUGAAGAAGGCCUUUUGGUUGUAAAGCACUUUAAGCAGGGAGGAGAGGCUAAUGGUUAAUACCCAUUAGAUUAGACGUUACCUGCAGAAUAAGCACCGGCUAACUCUGUGCCAGCAGCCGCGGUAAUACAGAGGGUGCGAGCGUUAAUCGGAAUUACUGGGCGUAAAGCGAGUGUAGGUGGCUCAUUAAGUCACAUGUGAAAUCCCCGGGCUUAACCUGGGAACUGCAUGUGAUACUGGUGGUGCUAGAAUAUGUGAGAGGGAAGUAGAAUUCCAGGUGUAGCGGUGAAAUGCGUAGAGAUCUGGAGGAAUACCGAUGGCGAAGGCAGCUUCCUGGCAUAAUAUUGACACUGAGAUUCGAAAGCGUGGGUAGCAAACAGGAUUAGAUACCCUGGUAGUCCACGCCGUAAACGAUGUCUACUGGCCGUUGGGGUCCUUGAGACUUUAGUGGCGCAGUUAACGCGAUAAGUAGACCGCCUGGGGAGUACGGCCGCAAGGUUAAAACUCAAAUGAAUUGACGGGGGCCCGCACAAGCGGUGGAGCAUGUGGUUUAAUUCGAUGCAACGCGAAGAACCUUACCUGGUCUUGACAUAGUGAGAAUCCUGCAGAGAUGCGGGAGUGCCCUCGGGAAUUCACAUACAGGUGCUGCAUGGCUGUCGUCAGCUCGUGUCGUGAGAUGUUGGGUUAAGUCCCGCAACGAGCGCAACCCUUUUCCUUAUUUGCCAGCGGGUUAAGCCGGGAACUUUAAGGAUACUGCCAGUGACAAACUGGAGGAAGGCGGGGACGACGUCAAGUCAUCAUGGCCCUUACGACCAGGGCUACACACGUGCUACAAUGGUAGGUACAGAGGGUUGCUACACAGCGAUGUGAUGCUAAUCUCAAAAAGCCUAUCGUAGUCCGGAUUGGAGUCUGCAACUCGACUCCAUGAAGUCGGAAUCGCUAGUAAUCGCAGAUCAGAAUGCUGCGGUGAAUACGUUCCCGGGCCU
rnacentral:rRNA from 1 species